GCCAGUGUGGCCGAGUGGUUUAAGGCGUCAGACUUAAGUUCUGGUGGGCAUUGCCCGCGUAGGUUCGAACCCUGCCACUGGUA
rnacentral:tRNA from 1 species